CUUCUGAGUUCCGACUUCUGACUUCUUCUGCCUUUCCAGCUAAACACGGCAAAUCCAAACCGAUUGCUUCGAUUCUGCAUUAAUUUUGCUGAUAACGUCUAAAUAUAUCAUAAUUUUCUUAUCCAGAAUUUCCGAAUUUUGUUUCAUUUUUUUCAAUUUUAUGUUGCCGUGUUUCCAACAGUAUUAUCAUUCUUUGUUAGCAAUACUUAUUUUUGAUAUCUUAUGUAUUUCAGUAGAAAAAAGCUAUGUAUGUUCAACGGGAUGUUCUUUAUCAAAUUUAGCCGUAGGGGACAUUUAAAAAUAAAUUAAAAUUUAAUUUAACAUUUACAUCACUUAUUUCCAAAACUUAGCUCAAGAACUUUCCAAAAUACCAUCCAGAAAAAACAAUCACCAAUAUAAUCAUAUGGAUAAGAAAUUUAUCUAUUUUGGCGAUAAAAUUAACCUUUGGCGAUAAAAUUAAUCCUUGGCGAUAAAAUUAAUCAAAUUGAUAUUGUCAAUUGACAAAAUUUUCAUUAUCCACCACAGUAGAACCCCGGUUACACCGCCAUUUCAAACUUAAGUUAGUUGGCUAAAUUUCAUGAGUCAAGCCUCAAAGGAAAAAAUAAUUAGUUCGAAAAAGCAACGAGUUCGAGUUAUAUGAGUUCAAAAUAACGGAGUAAAGAAGUCCGAACUCAGAAGUCGGAAGUCAGAAGUCAGAAGUCGGAAAUCAGAAAAUUGGAAGUCGGAAGUCAGAAGUGGGAAGUCAGACGUCAGAAGUCGGAAGUCAGAAGUCGGAACUCAGAAGUUGGAAGUCAGAAGUCGGAAGUCGGAACUCGGAAGUCAGAACUCGGAAGUCAGAAGUGGCCCUCCUCGGUCAUGUGGCCCUCCUCGGCCAUCGUAUAGAAGUCAGCCUGUCGGAAUUCGGGACUUUUGGAAAGUUCUUGAGCUAAAUUUUAGAAAUAAGUUAUGUAAAUGUUAAAUUUUAAUUAUCCAAUUUAAUUGUUCCCUACAGCUAAAUUUAAACCGUUGAGACAGUGAAAUCGCAAUGGUGUAGAGAAUAUCUCGUUGAACAUAGUCUUUUUUAUACUAAAUUAUCGAAAAUAACGAUAUCAAAAUAAGUAUUGCUAACAAAGAAUGAAAAUACUGUUGGAAACACGGCAACAUAAAAUUGAAAAAAUGAAAUAAAAUAAUGAAUUCGGAAAUUCUGGAUAAGAAAAUUAUGGUAUAUUUAGACGUCAUCAGCAAAAUUAAUGCACAAUCGAAGCAAUCGGUUUGGAUUUGCCGUGUUUAGCUGGAAAGGCAGAAGAAGUCAAAAGUCGGAGGCAGAAGAAGUCAGAAGUCGGAACUCAGAAGUCAGAAGUCGGAACUCAGAAGUCAGAAGUCAAACUCAGAAGUCAGAACUCGGAAGUCGGAAGUCAGAAGUCAGAAGUGGC